CUGCGGAGGAUCAUUACUGAGAAUGCUCUCCGGAGCCCUCAAAUCUUGCGUACCCAUCUUGUACUUGCGGGUGGCCCCCGGGCGCCCGCGAGGAUUCAAACUGUUUGACUGUCGUCUGAUUCUUACAAAGAAAACAACUUUCAACAAUGGAUCUCUUGGCUCCGGCAUCGAUGAAGAACGCAGCGAAAUGCGAUAGCUAGUGUGAAUUGCAGAUUUUAGUGAAUCAUCGAGUCUUUGAACGCACAUUGCGCCCYUUGGUAUUCCUCAGGGCAUGCCUAUUCGAGCGUCGUUUCGACCCAGCGCAAGCUGUUUUGGGGCCUGCCAGUGGCAGCUCUUAAAAUCAUCGGCGGCAGCAGCGAGCCAAACGCAGCAGAUUGCGCGCACCUCGCGGCGGUCGCCGUUAAACACGCCUUGGUUCGCCUCGGCACACAGCUCGACCUCGAAUUAGGUAGGGAUACCCGCUGAACUUAA
rnacentral:rRNA from 1 species